rnacentral:rRNA from 1 species
GAUGAACGCUAGCGACAGGCCUAACACAUGCAAGUCGAGGGGCAGCAUAAAGGUAGCAAUACUUUGGUGGCGACCGGCGCACGGGUGAGUAACACGUAUGCAACCUACCUGUAAGAGGGGAAUAACCCGGAGAAAUUCGGACUAAUACCGCAUAAUACCGCUGAACUGCAUGGUUUAGUGGUUAAACAUUUAUGGCUUACAGAUGGGCAUGCGUAUGAUUAGCUAGUUGGUGAGGUAACGGCUCACCAAGGCAACGAUCAUUAGGGGUUCUGAGAGGAAGGUCCCCCACACUGGUACUGAGACACGGACCAGACUCCUACGGGAGGCAGCAGUGAGGAAUAUUGGUCAAUGGGCGAGAGCCUGAACCAGCCAAGUCGCGUGAAGGAAGAAGGUUCUAUGGAUUGUAAACUUCUUUUGUAAGGGAAUAAAAAAGAGUACGUGUACUCUAUUGUAUGUACUUUACGAAUAAGGAUCGGCUAACUCCGUGCCAGCCGCCGCCGUAA